UAAAUAGCUGGGCUGCUUCUUAAGCGGUUGUCAGCUUCUUAGAGGGACUGUUGCGCGAUUAGCCAACGGAAGUUUGAGGCAAUAACAGGUCUGUGAUGCCCUUAGAUGUUCUGGGUCGCACGCGCGCUACACUGAUGAAGUCAACGAGUUCAUUUUGGCCGGAAGGCCCG
rnacentral:rRNA from 1 species